UGAAACCUCAGCUGGCCUAAAAAUCAUUACAGGUCAUUUUAGAAACCCAAACUAGAGAGGCACUCAUAAAUUCUCACCGUUACAGCUGUUUUAUUUCCAGCAGUACAGUUAUAAUGACCCUUGCUAACUGUUUAGUUGGAGUGCAAAAUGAUAUUUUUGGUACAUUUAAGAGCUAUUUACUAAAAUUAUUUCUUGUGACAGUUCACAGAUUUUCGCUUAUAUUCCUGACCUGUAAAAUCCAUGUUGCCACUGUGUGAGAUUGCUCAACAGGCAGCCUACUUUCUGGCAAAGAUGAUGGCGGAGAGAUACUGCUGUAAGAAAAGGGUGAGGUGAAAGGAUUGGAUCUCUCAGCAACUUGACAAGACUGGAGGACUAGCUUGUGGUGGCAUCAUGGACUUUUUGACAUCUACUCCUCCUCUUAUGAUUUCUAUUCAUCUCCAGGGUUGUGCUUGUGAAUGUGUUACAAGACAAAAGGAACUUUAUAGAUGGAAUUAAUUUUGGUAACUCUAAAUUUUAAGAAAGAGAUUUUCCUAGAUUAGCCAAAAAAAAUCCAAGUGCAAGCAUAAUUCAGAGAAAUGAAAAAGAAGAGAAAUGAAAGAAGAGAUGCUUCAGGGAGGAUUUGGAGAGACUUCCUGCUGACAGCCAGCAAGGAAACAGGGACCUCAAUCCUACAACUAUAUGGAACUGAAUUCUGACAAGAACUUGAAUUAAGCCUGGAAACAGAUUCUUCUCUCGAGCCUUCAUCAACCAUGCUGAUGCUGAGUUCAGCCCAGUGAAACCCAGAGCAGAGAAUCUCAAGUGAGCUACAUGGUGCCCAGACUUGUUACCUCCAGCACUGUGAGACGAUACAUUUUUGUUACAUUAAGUCACUCAAUUUGUGGUAAUUUGUCACAGCUAUAGUAGAAAAUUAUGUGGAUCUUACGCAUUUCUUUUUAGAAUGUGAAUAUUUCAGAUGUUGGAGAAACUAUCUCCUGUAGUCAGAAAACUACAACCUACUGACCAAAUCCAACCUACUGCCUGUUUCUGUACAGCCUGAAGCUCAGAAUUAUUUUACAUUUUACAGUGGUUCUAAAAAUCAAAAGAAACAAUAUUCGUGAAACAUAGAAAUUACAUGAAAUACAAAUGUAUGAAUCCACAAAGUUUUAUUGGAAAACAGUCACAUCCAUGUAUCAAGAAGUCUACAACUGCUUUUCAGAUACAAAUGGAUGGGCUAAGUAGGUGUGACUGGGAUCAUAUGGCCCACAAAGGUUAAAAUACCACCAGAGCAGCUUUACCAUGGUUCUCCCUACUCUUCCGUAAAAGUGCUUGGACAUUCACAGAGGAAAGUCUGCAACAGAGUGUAAUUCAUCUGUAUCUGCAGCCCUGAAACGCUUUCAUCUUACUUAGAACUUAGACAUUUGCUUAAAAAAUUUUAGGUGAAUUCUUGUUAUCACUCUUUAUGUGGCAUGACAGUGUUUAUCUCAGGUAAGCAAAUGCUCAGGUCAUGUGUCUUCUUAUAGGCUCUGCCACUUCCCAGAUUUUGAGUUAGAGGGUAGCCCUCUGACUUCAGCUUUAUGUUGGGUUCAAGAAAAUCAUUCAUUUACAGUUUUUAAGUAUGGAAGUGAUUCUCUUUCCAGCUCUCUAUAUCUCUGAACUGACACUAGAUCCAUCUUCAAGGAAUGUUUAUAGUUGAACCAAACUUUAGUAAGCACAGAUAUGAGAAGCAUUUAUUAUUAAUGUUAUUUAUCGUUGACAAAUCAUAAUCAUAUACAUUAAUGGAGCAAAAUAUGAUGUUUUGAUAUAUGUAUUUACACAAUGAAAUACUAUUCAGCCUCAAAAAGAGAAAAUUCUGUCAUUUGUGACAACAAGGAUGAACCUAGAGGACAUUGUUCUAAGUGAAAUAAGCUAAACACAGGAAAACCAUAUAAUCUCAUUGAUAUUUAUAGAAGUAUUUUCUGUCUCUCUCUAAACUCUAAAUAAUGAUGAUACAAGAACAUUAAUCACAAUAUGUAUUGGGCUCAUAACUGAUUUAGUAAGAAAAUGAAUAGCCCUGUAGCUUUAAAACAAAAUCCUUAAAUUCUAGAAUUUCUAAUUUGGGUGUGAGGAUUUUGACAUUUUUGUGUAUAUUAUCAGAAAGUGAGCAACUGUGAAGUACACCUGUGAAGAGUUCCACCUUACAUAACAGUAAUCAAUUUUUAAACUCUUUAGUGAAAGAAAAUGUUUGGAAACAGUGCUGCUACCAACUAGAAGGAGAAUAGAAUUGAGAAUGAAUGAAAAUAAUACAACUAUUAUUAUGGUUCCGAAGCAGUCCUUGCCAAAGCAUUUGAGUGGGAAUUCUGUUUUCCUGUUUAAGAGAAGCACACAAAUAUGAAGGUUUUGAAGGUAUUGAACUUGCAGGAAGAAUUUCCAAGUAAUGAUAAAUUUUCAUAAGCUCAUGAAUAAUGUCACUAGGGAUUAAUCUUAUUACAGAAAAAGGAUGAGGGAUAUAUGGUCUUGUCUUCACGUAAGCUUUCCUGUUUGUAUUGCCAAUCAUCUCUUUUAGAGCGGACAUAAUAAAAAAAUGUGUUUCAUCAAGUAAUAAGAGUAGUGUCCCACUGUGUUUGAGAAGUGAAAAUAAUUUGGAGAGAGAUUUAAUGGAUCUAUCAGUUAGGAAAGAGAUACAUCUGCUCAAAAGAGAUAACUUAAGGCCACAUUUUUUUUUCGUAUGAAUCACAGUUUGGUGUGGACCUCAAACUUUUAGGUCCCAGAAAGUUGAUAUUGGUUAGAGGGCCCUGAGGUACAUAAGAGUGAUCAGAGAGAACUCAUGAGAACUCACAAUAUAAAUUAGAAGUAAAAGAAGUGAAAUUAAUCAUUGAUAAGAAGAGGUGGAAAUAUGGUAUGGACUGGUCAGUGUAUUACCUCACAAUAGGAAAAUUUUCAUUGUUAUUUUAGUUAGAAGAUCAUCAUCAUUAUUCCUUUGAUUAUGUCAAAACAUAUUAAUAUUUUGUGUCUAAAGGCUCUAUUAUGCUCUUCACAAGUGUUAUUUUAACUGUAUUCCCAGAAAACUCUCAUGAGGUAGAUUUCAUGAUUUUUAUUUUACAGAAGUGGAAAACAAUGCUUAGCAGAUAACAAUUUUCAGGAUGUAACACAGCUGGUUAGUGCAUAGUCAGCAUCAUGUGUAUAUAGCCUGAGAUCUUUACUAACUCCAGAGAGAAUGUUAAAUUGAAGAGAGUGGGAAGAAAUCUCAGGAAUUUUUCCAACACAUAUUGAUAUUUAAUGAUCUGUUCUCUUAAAUGGGGAACAUCUAUGUAGUUCUUGGACAAUUUAUUUCAGGGGUCUCCAACCCCUUUGCCAUGGAAUGGCACUUGUACAUGGCCUAUUCAGAACUAGGCCACAAAGCAGGAGAUGAGCAGCAGGCAAGCAAGCGAAGCUUCAUCUGUAUUUACAGCCACUCCCCAUUGCUCACAUUAUCACCUGAGCUCUGUCUCCUGUCAGAUCUGCUGUGGUGUUAGAUUCUCAAGGAAUGGGAACUUUAUUGUGAACUGCGCAUGCAAGGAACGCAGGUUGUCCACACCUUAUGAGAAUCUAAUGCCAGAUGAUCUGUCACUGUUCCCAUUACCCCAAGAUGGGACCAUCUAGUUGCAGUAAACAGCUCAGGGCUCCCACUGAUUCUAUGUUAUAGUGAGUUGUAUAAUUAUUUCAUUAUAUAUUACAAUGUAAUAAUAAUAGAAAUGAAGUGCACAAAUAAAGGUAAUGCGCUUGAACCAUCCUUAAACCAUUCCCCCUACCGCCUAGUACAAGGAAAAAUUGUCUUCCGUGUAACUGCUCCCUGGUGCCAAAAAGGUUGAGGACUGCUGAUUUAUACCAUAUCCCUGCUGUGGUAGGGAGAAAGUACUGUUCAAAGAAGUUGCAUUUAAACUGGGCAUUUCAAAUAAAUUUUUCUGAAAUGAAUUAAAAAUAUAAUUGAAUAUGUUAUUCUUAAGAACUAUGAGUUCUCUAGGCCUUUAAAAUGAAGGAAGUUGAUGUUAUAGCUAACCUGUUGCAAAUUUUUUUUAACAGUUUUUUUGACAAGGCCUCUGAUAAAAUUGGGAGGAUGUGGGACAAGCCCAGCCUAACCCAUGGUUGGUGAGAUGGUAGAAUUUCCAAAAAUAGUAAAUGUAAGUAUUAAUCCCCUACAUAUGCAUCUAAGUACCUAGAUAUAUUUAAUUACUAACAGUACAAUUACAUAUCACAACUAUUUUCUACAAUAAUUUAAGAAGACAAACUGUUCUUCAAAAAUAUAAUUCAACUUGACAAAACCAGAUGAAAUGAAUAGAUACAUAUAUAUGUGUGUGUAUAAAUAUUUUAUAUCUAAGUAUAUAUCUAUAUAUAUUUUUUAAGAGAAACAGGGGCAAACUAGAAUCCACAAAGAAACCUGAUUCAAAUAGCUAAUCAUUAAGCAAAAACCAACCAAGAUUUUUCUAACAGGUUGAAAAUAGCAGAACUAACCAAGAUUUUAAAAAAUAUGUGAAUAGUGGAAUGUUUAUAAAAUUUUACUGAAAGUAAAAACACGUAAGAAAAUGCCAUGGGGGAAAGCCAUUGAACUAUUUCUAUAAGAUUACUUAACAGGAAAAUUAUCUUCACUAUACACAUCCUUAAAUUCAUAACAAAUUUUAUUUAAGCUUAUUUAACUUAUGUCAAAAGUUAAAAUUUUAUCAUGAAUAGUCAUAUAACUUUAUAAGCUUAAUUCCAAAAGCCAGCUAUUUAUCAGGCUGUGGUUUCAGAUUGCUGAAUAUUUUUAUAUUUUUCUAAAAGAAAGAAAUUCUGAUUUACUUAUCUAAUUAUGUAACGUGAAGAUACAAAUAAAGCUCCGGGGCAUAUCACUUAUAUGGGCAAGUUCUCAAAAAGUGAACCAGAUACAAGCUCCUCAGUUAGUUUUAAAGGUCUUUCAUGGCAGGGUCAGGGUCUUAGGCUUCUAAAUAGUCUGUGCAGUUCAUUAAUAGCCUGGCACUUUUGUUGAUUAGACACAUGAUUGUAAAAAUCUGCCUGACUGUUGGCAUUCCAAUAUUACCUCUAAUCUCAAUACAACUUGUAAGAUGGAUUCUCUUUCUUUUAUAUUAUGAACUGUGGGCAGUUCAAAUAGCAAUGAAGUAAUGUGAAGUAGCAAUGAAGUAAUAAUAUGAGUUAAGCAGUAUGGGAGCUAUGUACAUAGAGCUUCAUAAUCAUCCUUUAGACAGUAAGAAGUUCUUUGGGUUUUUUCAUUGUAUUUACAGACCUGAUGCCACUCAGAAUAAUUAUAAUAAUUUAAACAGAUUUAUAUAGCCAAACUGUCUUAGAUUUGUGACUUGGAGGAAGGAAUGAAGACAUUCAAAAUAUGAUCUAUGCCCAUUCCCAAUUAUUCAAAGAAUAGAGUAAUUCAGUCUUCAGGAGUUACUCAGAGAAUGACUCAGAAUGACAAACAGAUAACCUAAAGAUUCAAUCUAAGGAAACCUUCCAUUAUUUAAAUUCUCCCACUCUCUCUUUCUCUUUCUGUCUCUAUCUUACACACACAUACACACACUCACACACACCCACAUGCACACUCUUGCUUUCUAGUUUUCUUCAAUCAUUCAGAAAUAUUAUUCUGAAGGAUCUUCCUGACAACCCCUUUAGUUCAUACUCUAUACUUCAAUAGUAAGUUUAUUUCAUUGUUUCUAAGAUUUUUUUGAAAGUUAUUCCAGGUUAAAUUUUCCUUGAUCUAAAUAUCUAUCAGAACCUUACAGACAGUGAGAAUCUCUCAAGCAUGCACUUGCUUAUAUUUAACCAGAUAAUCUCUUUUCAGCUGAAGAAAUACAAAGUUUUCAAUAUUUUAUUUUUUUGUACAUAACCUUACAAUGUCCCAUUAUUUGAAAGUCAGGAUAUUAAAAAUAGUCUUUCUUUUUAAAGUAACAUAUUUUGUUUGCAGAAUAUUAUAUUUAUAUAUAGUAAAUUUAGAAAAUAUAAAAAAGAUUUUAGAAAAGAGAGCCUUUUGCAAUCUCACCACUCUAAAAGCCUAUUAGAAAUUAUUUUAAGCUAUUCUCCAAAAUGGGAUCACUUUUAGUAACUCUUAAAAUGCUUUGUGAAUAAAUGAAUGUAUGUCAAUUCACUUAUAUAUUUGUAAAAUUAUCAAAAUAAGUCAAGUUCUGAAGGUAGAUUAAAUAAAGGACCAUUUGAUUGUGAAAUGUAUAAUUCACAUUUAACAGGCUUCCACAUUGCAGAGGGUGGUAAUGAGACUCAGUCUAUCAGGUUAGUACAUUUGGAUUGACAAUUUAGUUCCAAAUUAGAAUCCUGAUUGCCAGUAAUCUCAGGCAAAUGAACCUUAGAGAAAACAACAUUAUCUUAUUUGAGGUUCUACCUAAUCUCUCUGGGAAAUUUUUCAAUGAACUUAGUUUUCAGUAUAUGACUACUUCAUAACUUUAUAAUAUACUAACAUUGACCUUAUUAAAAUAUUUGUAAUCAUAGAGCUUUGAAACAGUAGGAGAUAGAGCCUGAGAUCUAAGAGAAAAGGUUAGUUAUAUGUGUUUUUAUUUAAAACAUUUCUUAAUGUAUUCCCAUUAUGUGAAACUUCCCCCAAAAAGUCAUAGGUUACAUGAGUCAUACAGUAAAGAGCUGAAUUUAUGUUCCUUAUCAUUUAUUUCAUGAAUCAGUCAGAAAUUAAUUUUACCAAAAACAAGAAUGUUCAACAGAUGCUACUGUGUGAUAAGAGUCUACUUCUCAAAUUAAUUAUCAUGAACACUGAAAGUGCUUCAGGAAUACAACUGCCUAGUUCUAUAAUUUCCUGGCUACUGAUAAAAAUUUUCAAUGUAUUUUAUUAGGAAAAGUAAUACAUUAAUAUAUUUUAAAGUAAAAUAUGGUUUUUACUGUCUUGCAUAUUGCAAUUCAAGUCACAACUGCUGGUUUCUCAUGCAAGUCAGUCACCCAAGGUAAUAUAAUGUGAUUGAUGUAAUCAGAAUGGUUUGCUUAUAAGGAUGACAUGUCCUCUUGAGAAUUUAAGCUUUGGUGAAAUAUGUUGGCAGUAAGCACUUCCCUUACAGAUAAAACUUUUUCUUUAAAAACAUUCUAACUGUAUAAAUUUCUAGUUGAAAAAUAGAAAAGUUGAAAAGUUUUUCUAUUUAGAAAGUUUUUUUCUUUCUAAUGCCAAGUUUAAAUGUAUUAUCUAAAGUUUUUGCAAUUGUAGCUCAAAUAAUAAACCAUUCUUUAAAUUUCACUGUAAACUAAAAAUAUGAUACUUUCAUUAAGGAAAGCAACCUAUCCUCAAAAAGUAUGCAUUCUAAAUCUAUUCUUAUAAUUUACAAUACUAAAAUGCAAUAUCUGAAUGAUCUGAAGUUUAUAAUGCUUGUGAAAUAAAUUGUAAGUUAUGGGACAGGGAAAAUUAAUGAGUCCUCAAUAAAACUUCAGAUUUUUCCAAAAGCAUGCUCUGGAAAAUCCUGUAUUUGCUUUUGUGACAUAAUUUAGUGAAGUACCAAUGAAGUAAUGAUAUGAGUUAACUAGUAUCUAAUACACAUGGCCAGACAUAUUUUAUCCUACAAAUUUGCUUUUGCAAUAUUCUAUAAAUACCUUUUUUCUUUCUACGCAUUAUUGUAAUGAAGCACCAAAACCAAAAUUACAUGCACAUUUCCAAAUGCUAAGGGUGAAAUACAAUAUACAACUUUACACAAUUCGUUUUAAUCAGAGGAUGAACACAGUUCCAUGGAAAAGAUCUUUCACUGUUCACAUGUUCAUCUGUUUCUCCUUAUGCUUCAUAAAGCAAUCAUUCUGUGAAGCACUCUUCUUUCUGCAUGGUUCUAAAGCUAAUAAAUUAGCACAAUUAAUCAGUUAUACAGCUCUUGACACAAAGGAGGAAAAAAUACACAAGUAUAUAUUACCUGUCUUAUACUAACAAAG
rnacentral:lncRNA from 10 species